GAACGUGUUUGUUCCCGUGCUGCGGCUGUGCAAGUGGAUGUUGGGUUCAUCGCGAGCUUCUCGUUUACGGUAGUCAUCGAGUGCGUGUAUGUUUGCUUGGUUAGUUCUAGCAGCAUCGUGUAUUUGAUGCCUUGUGACUUGCUAGAGCUGCAUCUCGGUGAAAUUUGGAGCGCCUAACGAACGGGACGGCACCGCGCUCGUCCUGGCUGAAACAAGGAGACUGCCCAUGACGAUGACUUGAGAGACAUGCCAUUGACGCCCACAAUAUGUAUGAAAGGACCAGCUCUCUUUGAGGCAGAAAUGUUCACUGUCUGUGUGGAUGGUGUUGCUAUCUUGACCACUCAGCGGGCUGCAGCUUUCAAAGUCAUGUUUCUCUUAUACUUCGUUCUUAACAUCGAGUAUCCACCUGAAGUGGCUUUGACAUUGGCGUUUGUGCAGACGGCAAUCGCAGGAAUCAACCCAGAAAGAAGCACAAAGGCACGACGAGCGUCGAAGAGGCAGUAUUGUUUGUCGCCAAAAGUGGCUGCCUUGGCGAAUGCCCUGGAUCAAUACAAGUUCUAAGCUUGAGUUUGAGUUCUAAAUAAAGAGUAAAAUUUGGAAUGUCAAGCUGUUGCCUUUAACUUCGCUAGUGAAUAUAAAUCACUCUGGUUAUGCUGCUAGCACCAUGCAUGCGAAGUUGGUGCUGCCCGCAGCUUCUAUUGCAGAUGAUAGCACAUAAACAGCAACUAUCUAAGUGGAAAUAUCUACUUAGCUUAGGAGAGAACAGAGCCCAUUUUUCUUAAAUAUGGUAAUACAGUUGCGUUAGUACAGGGUUCAACC